rnacentral:rRNA from 1 species
AUUGAACGCUGGCGGCGUGCCUAACACAUGCAAGUCGAGCGGUAACAGGUGUAGCAAUACAUGCUGACGAGCGGCGAACGGGUGAGUAAUGCUUCGGAAUCUACCUUAUGGUGGGGAAUAACUAGCCGAAAGGUUAGCUAAUACCGCAUACGUCCUACGGGAGAAAGCAGGGGAUCGCAAGACCUUGCGCCAAAAGAUGAGCCGAAGUCGGAUUAGCGAGUUGGUAGGGUAACGGCCCACCAAGGCGACGAUCCGGAGCUGGUCUGAGAGGACGACCAGCCACAGUGGGACUGGGACACGGCCCAGACUCCUACGGGAGGCAGCAGUGGGGAAUAUUGGACAAUGGGGGAAACCCUGAUCCAGCGACGCCGCGUGUGUGAAGAAGGCCUGCGGGUUGUAAAGCACUUUUAGUGGGGAUGAAAUGUGCAGGGUUAAUACCUCUGCAUUUUGACCUAACCCACAGAAAAAGCACCGGCUAACUCUGUGCCAGCCGCCGCAGUAA